GGCCGGGAGGGGCUCGCGGGAGCUGCUGAAGCGGAUGCCUUCACCUGGGGCUCUCCAUCAGUGAGAGAGGCGAGAAGAGGCAGUCGGGUUUGGAGAACUACCUCUGGAUGGUUUAAAAAAGAAAACAACAAAAAAAAAACAGAAAAGAAAAAGGAAAAAACCCAACUCUGCAAUCCUCUACUCCCCCAGGCUCAACACCAUAAGGGACUGCUAUAUUUGAGGCUGUCAGAAGGAUGGGAGAAAGAGACUGAGAGUCAGGGCGAGAGAGACGGUGCCACAGCAGCGAUUACUGAUGAGGAG